AACGAACGCUGGCGGCAUGCCUAACACAUGCAAGUCGAACGAGACCUUCGGGUCUAGUGGCGCACGGGUGCGUAACGCGUGGGAACCUGCCCUUAGGUUCGGCAUAACUCCCCGAAAGGGGUGCUAAUACCGGAUAAUGUCUUCGGACCAAAGAUUUAUCGCCUUUGGAUGGGCCUGCGUUGGAUUAGCUAGUUGGUAGGGUAAAAGCCUACCAAGGCGACGAUCCAUAGCUGGUCUGAGAGGCUGAUCAGCCACACUGGGACUGAGACACGGCCCAGACUCCUACGGGAGGCAGCAGUGGGGAAUAUUGGACAAUGGGCGAAAGCGUGAUCCAGCAAUGCCGGGUGAGUGAUGAUGGCCUUAGGGUUGUAAAGCUCUUUUACCCGGGAUGAUAAUGACGGUACCGGGAGAAUAAGCUCCGGCUAACUCCGUG
rnacentral:rRNA from 1 species